CGACCUCAGAUCGGACGAGACCACCCGCUGAAUUUAAGCAUAUCACUAAGCGGAGGAAAAGAAACUAACCAGGAUUCCCUCAGUAGCGGCGAGUGAAGCGGGAAGAGCCCAUCGCCGAAUCCCAGCGGCCCUUAGGCUCUGGGACCUGUGGCGUGAGGCGGCUUCGGGCGCGCGAGUCCACGACGCCGAGGUCCUCCUGAUCGGGGCACCUUACCCAGAGCGGGUGUCAGGCCCGUUCGGGCGUCGGGUCUCAAGGGCCUGGAGCCACCAAGAGUCGGGUACUUUAAGGUGCUGCCCAAAGAAGGGAGGUGAACUCCUUCCCCUUAAAAAGGACUGGCACGAGACCGAUAGCAGACAAGUACCGUGAGGGAAAGUGAAAGAGAACUCUGAAGAGAGAGUUCAAGAGGACGUGAAACCGCCAAGAAGCAAACGGGCAGGACCCGCGGCACGGGUCCGUGGAGAUUCAGCGUGUCGGCUGUCGUCCCGGGCAUGGCCUCGGAUCCGCAAGGACCGGACCGGCUCGGGUGGCGGCGGUCGGCGCGUGCACUUCUCCCGGACGCGGCGCUCGGGACCGGCAGCUCAGGUCGGCCGAAGGCACCGGCGCAGGUAGCUCCGCCUUGGCCUUUGUGCCUCUGCGGAGAACUAAUAGCGUCGGUCGCAACGCCGACCGGGCUGCCGAGGAAGGGACGCGAGCCGCGCCCGCCUCCCCUCGUGGGGGGCUGCGCCUCCCGUCCCCCGCAGGCCUCCCCGGCGUUCACUGUUCUCAGUGGUCGCUGAGGGACGGCAAGCGGCGGGUGCGGUGAGGCGGCACGUGGCGCCUCGGGUCGCCGAGCGAAGCUGGGCGCCUGCUCGACCCGUCUUGAAACACGGACCAAGGAGUCUAACGGGCCCGCGAGUCAAGGGGCGACUGAAACCCCACGGCGCAAUGAAGGUGAAGGUCGAUUCGGUCGAUCGAGGUGGGAUCCUCUCCCUCGGGGGAGGCGCACCACCGCCCCGCCAUAUCCGCUCCGUUCGGUGUGGCGGAGGCAGAGCGGGCACGCUAGGACCCGAAAGAUGGUGAACUAUGCCCGAGCAGGAUGAAGCCAGAGGAAACUCUGGUGGAGGUCCGCAGCGAUUCUGACGUGCAAAUCGAUCGUCCGACUUGGGUAUAGGGGCGAAAGACUAAUCGAACCAUCUAGUAGCUGGUUCCCUCCGAAGUUUCCCUCAGGAUAGCUGGCGCUCAUAUGCAGUUUUAUCUGGUAAAGCGAAUGAUUAGAGGCCUUGGGGACGAAACGACCUCAACCUAUUCUCAAACUUUAAAUUGGUAAGAGGCCCGACUCGCUGGCUUGGAGCCGGGCGAUCGAAUGCGAGUGCUCAGUGGGCCACUCUUGGUAAGCAGGACUGGCGCUGCGGGAUGAACCGAACGCCGGGUUACGGCGUCCGACUCGUACGCUCAUCAGAUCCCAGAAAAGGUGUUGGUCGAUACAGACAGCAGGACGGUGGCCAUGGAAGUCGGAACCCGCUAAGGAGUGUGUAACAACUCACCUGCCGAAUCGACCAGCCCUGAAAAUGGAUGGCGCUUUUCGGAAGUUUUGGCCCAUACCCGGCCGCUGGAGCAGAGGAGGUACUUCCCCCGCCCGGGAGGUAAGCCC
rfam:Strongylocentrotus purpuratus Contig15016_fixed, whole genome shotgun sequence.